GCCGGGGUGGCGAAAUGGCAGACGCAGUAGACUCAAAAUCUACCGCCCGUAAGGGUAUGAGGGUUCGACUCCCUCCUCCGGCA
rnacentral:tRNA from 1 species